GUGCCAGCCGCCGCGGUAAUACGUAGGUGGCAAGCGUUGUCCGGAAUUACUGGGCGUAAAGGGCGUGUAGGCGGUUUUUUAAGUCAGGCGUGAAAACUAUGGGCUUAACCUAUAGACUGCGUUUGAGACUGAGAGACUUGAGGAUCGGAGAGGGCAGUGGAAUUCCCAGUGUAGCGGUGAAAUGCGUAGAUAUUGGGAGGAACACCAGUGGCGAAGGCGACUGCCUGGACGACACCUGACGCUGAGGCGCGAAAGCUAGGGGAGCAAACGGGAUUAGAAACCCGUGUAGUCC
rnacentral:rRNA from 1 species